UCUGUAGCAUAGCUCAUUUUAUUGUUUAAACAGUUUUUGCAUAGGAAAUAUAUCUGCUUCCAGUAAUUGACUGCAGUAUGAGCAGCUGCUAGCAGUAUAGGCUGGAUAUAACAGUAACAAUCACAUUAAGUCAAGCUUGAUUUACACCAGUUUAAAACUUGUGGCAAUUGAGUUCAUUUGCAACCCACAAAAAGUACCCAAAGAACAUUAUCCUCCAACCGGGCACAAUAAAACCUUCGCUAACAUUCUGGCCCCGUCUGGGGCUGAUCCCAGAGGUCUGAACGCCAGAAAUUCAGUAACUGUCAUAUAAUACAUCCUACUGCUAAAGGUUUGUUAACACAGAGACUGUGCAUGUGCCUCCUUUUGGAAAAAUUUAAUUAAAGUACAAGGUUCUGUAUUUAUGGCCCACGAGGACAAAAAUGCCAAAAGUUUUAAAAUGGAUCAACCCUGGUGUGUAGCUAGCAAGCAAUAACUGACUACUCGUCACCUACAGUUGUACUAAAUGUAUCUAAAGAAACACACAGUCCUACAAAAGUUGUUCUCAGAGAAAUAUCAUUGAGGUGGGGGCAUCUCUUCCCAGGAUGCUAAAAGUUCUAUAUGAUAUAAGCACAAAUUAACAGCUUGAUGAAGACAUAAUCUAAUGCAGCUUUGAGAAGCCUAUGCCUGGGAUGGAGUUACCCCUCACAUUCUACAAUGUUGUAGAGAUUUUUUUUUUUCCAAGAAAAUGUCAUUUGAAACAUAUUUACAACUGAACUCAACAGAGACUGUGAAAUUGAACAGGCACUGCUCAUUUGUUUGAGUUUUUUGGUAAACAUUUUGCUGGUUUUUUUUUUUUUGUUUUAUUUUGUUUUGUUUCUUUCUCGUUUUGCAUCAACUUUUUUUCAGUCCAUGCAACUUCAAUGCCCUCGAUGAAGAAUGCAUAAUAAGCCAUACUUCUCAAAAAAAAAAAAAAAGACUUCCUUCUGCAUAAAGAGAUAUAUUUGCCACAUCAGUCCCUGUAGCACAGUUUUCCAUACCAUUCUGUCAAAAAUACAGUAAUACAAGACCGGCUUUAGUGUCACCAGCUCACACUGCCUUCCACAUAUGCAGGCCACCUUUUGUUACUGGUACUGUAUCAUGCAAUGAAAGUUAUCAGAGGCUGGGGCUGGCGUGCUGGUAGGCUAGUGGCACUGAAGCGUUUUCACAAUCUCAACAUACAUUUGAAUUGCAACACACAGUUAUUUCUAAAGAGUCUUAACUAGUGAACCCUUUUAUUAUUUAAAAAAAAAAAAAAACUACUUACAACCAUUGAAGAAAGGAUUGCAACAACAACAAAAAAAAAAUGUAAAAAUUGACCGUCUCCAACUUGUCCCCUUUUACUAUAUGAACAAUGUCACCAACAGAUCUGUGGCACGGACGCAGUACAAAGAGUUGUCAUGGCAAUGAGUUUGGCUGAUGCAAAGGUCAUUGUGCAGGGUCAAAGGGCAAAAAUCAGUGGUCCAUGUAACCCCCCAACUGCAGUGCUCCACCCCACCCACACAAUUUUUAAGGAAUUAGAAAAAACAGGGGAACUACCAGAAAGUGCAAAAUAUGAAGAAGGCAGCUUUCAGCACCUUCAGCAUGGAGUAGAACAUUCAAUUUUGAGCUUUUACUAUUGAACUUGAAUAGCCUGCACAUUUAAAAAAAAAAAAAAAGUUUUCUAUAGAAACCCAAUUUUUUAAGUCCAGGAAGCAUGCAGCUGGUUAAUGUUAACAAAAGACCUUGACAGGAACAUGUAAACUAUACUGAAUGUCAUGCUUGGGGCCUAUCUGCCAGCAAUAUUGUAGAGUUGUUUCAUUAAAAAUGAAUACUGUACACUGAAUAUGGGAUAACUUUCUGCAGCCUUCAUCGUUUCACACAGUACAUAGUUUGAAUCUAGGUAAAGAACACGUGUCUUGGUGUCAAACCGCUGAAGAUGUCCCUGUGCAAUCUCUUUUGUUGAGUCCUUAUGAAGCUACAAGUCACCAAUCCAAGAUUCUGCUCCCUGAGGACACGUUAUGUGAGACAUAGCACUGUUUUCGUUUUCUGCCUAUCCUGAAUGCUCUGUGAAACAACCUUAAAUACCAUCACGGAACAAUCACAAAAACUUUUGCUAAAGGCCGUUAUAUACUAAUAAAAAGACAGUGGUGCUUCCGACAUUCUGAAAUGCUCUGAAAACCAACUUUUCCAAUACUAAAUACAACAAAAUAACCUUCAUAAAAUAUAACUUUUCUCCAUUUACACUUUUUUAAAGGAUUAGUAUCCUAUGCUUUUCAAGCACAGGAAUCUGUGAAAUAACUCCUAACAUGGACAGAUUUUUUUUUAAUACAUAACUUAAGAGACUGGAGAGUUUUAACUCAAGUCCAGUCUCCAAACAAGGAAUAUUCUUGUUUACUUUAAAAAUGGAAACAACAUAUAGUUCCAUUAUAAUUGUUAAAAAGUUAGCUUUACAAACAUGGGAAUUUUAAUUUAAAAAAAAAAUUCUUAACAAAACUAUACAGUGUACAAAUUACUGUCUACAAGGUAGGCGGUUCGUUAAGAAGACCUUUCGCUCUUCUUGCUACUCGCAGCUUCACAGAUUCAUUCACAUAUUUUUUUUUAAAUGGAGCUGCCCACCCGAACAUUACCCCAUAACUAUAUUGCUAUAAUUAAGAUUUUUGCCAUGUCUUUAUGUACAGUCUCCUUCACUGCCUUUUUCCAAUUUUCUCCUUAGACAAGCCUCCAACGCUCAUGUCACUCCAGAGGAAACACUUCAGAGGCACUGUGAGUGGUGGGCUACAAAGCAACGCAAGGAAAGCUGAACAGUGCCGAGAGCCUGGGGCUGGAGAUGCCACGCCCAGCUGGUGCCCUUGGGUGACCUUCACCAUCCUAUAGCUCUGCAGUUCUGGGGAGGGGAGGGGCGUGCAAGACCUGCCAGAGUGGGGCCCUCAGUCACAAGAUACUUCCUGGUAAAAGGAGGAGGCCGAAAUGGAUUUGAGAUUUCUAUAUAUAUAUAAAUUUAUAUAGUAAAUUUUUAAGAGUUUUAUCUCAAAAGGAAAGGAGACCAAAACAAUGAUUUAAAAAAAAAAAAAUUAACACUCGAAUUAGGCUUCUGUAUUCAAGAGGCAGGCAGGAAUACCCACAGUGUGUAACUUACUUAGCAAGAGCUGCUCAUUUACUGGCAAAAAAAAAAAAAGAAAAGAAA
rnacentral:lncRNA from 1 species